rnacentral:snRNA from 1 species
GAUAACGCAGGUGUCCUA